GAUGAACGCUAGCUACAGGCUUAACACAUGCAAGUCGAGGGGUAACGAGAGGAAAGCUUGCUUUCCUUGUCGACGACCGGCGCACGGGUGAGUAACGCGUAUCCAACCUGCCCCCAACUAGGGAAUAACCUUGCGAAAGUAAGACUAAUACCCUAUAAUUUCCUCAGAUGUCAUCUGACGAGGAAUAAAGAUUUAUCGGUUGUGGAUGGGGAUGCGUCUGAUUAGCUUGUUGGCGGGGUAACGGCCCACCAAGGCAACGAUCAGUAGGGGUUCUGAGAGGAAGGUCCCCCACCUUGGAACUGAGACACGGUCCAAACUCAUACGGGAGGCAGCAGUGAGGAAUAUUGGCCAAUGGGCGGAAGCCUGAACCAGCCAAGUAGUGUGCAGGAUGACGGCCCUAUGGGUUGUAAACUGCUUUUAUACAGGAAUAAAGUUAGCCACGUGUGGUUAUUUGUAGGUACUGUAUGAAUAAGGACCGGCUAAUUCCGUGCCAGCCGCCGCAGUAA
rnacentral:rRNA from 1 species